rnacentral:rRNA from 1 species
CGCAUCUGUGCAUGCAGCAUAUCAAUAAGCGGAGGAAAAGAAACUAACAAGGAUUCCCUUAGUAACGGCGAGUGAAGCGGGAAGAGCUCAAAUUUGAAAUCUUCAAGGUUUUACCUUGACGAAUUGUAGUUUAAAGAAGUGUUUUCUGUUGAAGUUUUGGUAAAAGUUCUUUGGAAUAGGACAUCAUAGAGGGUGAGAAUCCCGUAUUUGACCAUUAUUUUCAGCUGUGUGAUACACUUUCAAAGAGUCGGAUUGUUUGGGAAUGCAGUCCAAAAUGGGUGGUAAAUUUCAUCUAAAGCUAAAUAUUGGCGAGAGACCGAUAGCGAACAAGUACCGUGAGGGAAAGAUGAAAAGAACUUUGAAAAGAGAGUUAAACAGUACGUGAAAUUGUCAAAAGGGAAGCGUUUGACACCAGUGUUGUUUUCUCGAAAAUCAAUUAAAAAGAGUUAGAUUUUGUUGUGUAUUGACCUUAACAGCUUGCAUUUCAAUUUUCUUGCUUUUUUUAAUGCACUUUUCGUUUAACAAGUCAACAUCAGUUUCUUUUGUUGUAAAAAGGUCAUUGGAAGGUGGCUUUCUUUUCGGAGAAAGUGUUUAUAGCCUUUGACUCCUGCAAUCGGAGAGACUGAGGUCUGCAGCGUAGAUCCUUCGGGGUUAGAUACAUUUGUGCUAAGUUAUAGCUUUUUAUAGACAACUUGUUGACUAUGAUUAGUCUUGUAGCUUACUCGCUUAUGCUAUUUUACCUACGCUUAGGAUGUUGAACUCUAUCACACACA